AGGAACGUUAUGAAUAUCAUUUUUAAACGUAUUGAUAAAGAUCCGUUUGAUUGGACUAUACGUAUACAGGAUCAUUUGUAUCCUAUUACAAAACAUAAACAUGGUUCAUGUUGACAACAUGAUUAAACAUCGUAGGUGGUGUGAAAGCCAAAACAUUUGUGAAUCUAUAGGUGGCGUACCUAAUAUUACAGUGUAGGAACAAAAAGUGAGUGCGUUAUGACGGGGUUGUGAUAAAACAUUAAGCGAGUGUAGGCGAACUCUCUUCUAAUGUACAAUUAAAAAAAUGAGUGCGUAUAAACAAUAUUGUCACACAGGAACUUUAAAGUCCUAGUGUUUACAGAAAAUAAAAACUAUAUAAUUCGCGAGCAUAUGUACUAUUUGAUUAAAACAGUUUGUGAAGUGAAAAAACUAAACGACGUGAAAGUGAACUUAUAUACUGUUUUAUGGCUUUAAAUUUGCCAGCAUUAAACAAAACUACUUAAAAUAUUUACGCCAGCAUUUUAUAAUACAGGAUAAUUUUUAAGCUGUACGCAAAAAAUCUUCGGUUCAGAAUCAUUAACAGUUCUGCAUUAUAAGUUUUAAGAAAAAUAUUAUUUUUUUAUCCGUGCUAAAAUCUUGUAGUUACCGUAAGUGCGAUCUUCAGUCGCCUUCUACCUUAAGAAUUUAUGUAGUACCUAUGACGACGUGACGACGUAUGACCAUGUAACAUCUUUUGUUAUCAAUAACUUUUUUUUUUGUACGAAAACAUCAAAGUAAAGUAUACGUAUUUAUUAACUUGUUCGACUAUGAGUUGUCAAAGUUUGCGCAUUUGUUAAAAAAUUAUCCUGUGGUGGCUUUAUAGCCCAGCAUUAAGAAAUAUAGAGGAAUGAAGUCUGUGACCCAGGAGAGGGCACAUAGAAGACAUAGAUGGAAGAAGGAAGCAUACGGGUGAUGAGAAAAACUAUAUUUCAGUAUAGGUACCCGUGCAGUGGAAGAAUAAUGUUGGAACUAAAAAGUGAGUGUGAGAAGGUCAAGGAACGUAACUUGCUUAUGGAACUGAAUAUUUCAGAUGUAAGCAAGACAAACUAUGUAUUCAAUAUUUGAAUGUUACUAAAGUAUGUUUUCAAUAUGUGUGUAUAUAGCUCCAUUUCAAUUCCAGGCAAAUUAUGUAAAAUUUUAUUAAAUAUUUUUUAUGGUCCCCCUGAAAACUGUGUUAUUUUAUAAUGUAGCCGAAAUAUUAUAGGUACAGGAUGUCGAUUUAUCACUGGCUGAAAAUUCAGAGAGCAAAAUUUCAAUUAACCAAAUGCAAACACAAUUCGAAUCUAGAUCUAGACAUUUUUCAUAUGCAAAUAUGAAUAUCAAUCCUGCAGUUGAUUGAAUCAGCAACCUGUAUGUAUGGACGUGCAGUAUUCCAAGUAAGUAAUUUUAUGUACUUCAUGUGUGUGAACAUAUUAGCCGAAGUAAUUCGAGGUAGUAUAAUUUUGUUUGAAGUUUCUUUAUGAUAUUAAAGCACGAUCAAUAUCUUUUCAAAAAAACUUAUUAUUUACAACCACUUGAGCAAAUAUUUUUUAUAAAUCUAAAUAAAUAAUUUAAAGGUCGUUAAAAUAAUAGUUUUUUUCUUUGUAAGACGAUUUAGGCCAUGGUUAAUAUGUUCAUCACUUCGGACAUACUCUGUUAGUACUACUAGGUUUCAAAUAAAUAAUAUUGUAUUGUUUUUUUUUAUUAAAUCCGGAAUAUAAUUAAACCACCUGAAAGACAUGCCGAAACCAAAAUUGAAAUAAAAAUAAAAGACAUUUCAAUUUCAUUUGCCGAAUUUCAUAGAGUCCAUACCGCACAUGUUUGCAGAUGGAAUUUCAAUAUUUGAAAUGUUAGACUGUUUCUACUUUCUCAAUAUAACUGUUGUUGUUGUUACAGCCUUUUUAUCGUCCCACUGCUGGGCACAGGCCUCCUCUCACAUGGAGAAGGAUUGAGCAUUAAUCACCACGCUUGCUCAAUGCGGGUUGGUGAUUUCAGACUUUAUAGUCCAGGUUUCCUCAAGAUGUUUUCCUUCACCUUUUUAUCAGCCAUUGGUGUCUAAGUAUACUUAAUACUCAAUAUAAGUUACUCAAUAUAACUGUACCUAGUAAUAAUUUUAAUGAGACCCCAAAAACUGUGACAAACUGUUGCCAAUUCAUUGUUUGAUGUGCUUUUCAUAAGCACUAGUAGGUACCGACUUUGAACCAUUCCGCUUAAAGCUUAAAAGGUAAUGAAAUAUAUAACAAUACCUUUUCCUACGAAAUGUACUGAUUUUCAUUACUGUGCACUUCUGCAGUCUAAUAUUAAUUUCGCGGAAAGAUGACCGUCUCUUUCAAUUCUGUGACAUUUGAAAAGUUAAUAUAACUUCAGUCUGACUUUAGAUAGCUGAUGCUUAUCUCAAAGUAUUACAAGGAAACCUUUUUCCUUUUUGAUUUCCUUGUAUAAAGGGGAUUGAAGAAACUGCACUUCAAAUGAUUCACAGAUCAAAAUGACAAAUCUCCCAAAACAUUCAAAUGAUUUGCACAAAAUAUUUUUGACUGUUCGACGCGAUGUCUAUUUGUUCGUGAAUAGCAAUUACAUUGAAAAGCGAAACAAGAGUUACAUUUCCAUUCAAUGGCAAUUCCGAACAAUAAGAUUCAAUGUUUUAAUUAAACAUUUAUCCUCCUGUCGUAAUCCAGAAGUUGAUCUGCGUAAAAUGACUUUAGUCCCGGCUUGUGAAAAGUGAAAUUAUCCGACGUGCGCCUUGCCUACCCAUAGACAUUGCGUAACAAACUUUUCCGGACAGCCGCGAAAGCGUUUACCUCAAACUUUAAACCCAACUCGGAAUUUCAUUAAUAUUUUUUUGUACUUUUGUUCAGUAAACUUUGAUAAUAUUCCAGUCUAGAUUGUGAUUGGUAGGGUGUUUUCGUAUUUUUCUAUUUAUCUAGUGUACAUAGCUAAGAUUUUGUACAUUUUGAUACUGAAAUAUAGGCUAUAGAGAGCAUAAGUCUGUCUUUCCUUAAAUGUGAAUUGUAAAUAAUAAUUAAGUAAAUAUGUAAAUAAUAAUAUCAUAUAUUUUUCUACUGUGUCCUGGUAUAUUAUGCUGACUCGCUUACAGGGGUACUCGGAAUAUCGCAUCUAAGACGACUCGGAGCAAUCAUAAUAUCGGAUCACGUCGAAAGUUACAUGAACCGACCAUCUCUAAAAGACAUAGAAUAUUCAAUCACUCUGCACAUACAUAUAUUAUAAGAAUACCUAGAUCAUACUUAAACAUUGGUGCACUAGCACUUAGCAUUUGAAAACGGGAAGCAGGGUUUGAUAAUAAUUCCUCCUCCAUUGCCAAAAUACAAAAUACGAUUUCAGAGUACCCCAGCGAUUCGCAGAAAUUAUUUAUAAAAUUGUAAAAAAUAUUUCAAACCUGUUUUGUACAUUUUGUAUUCAUUUUGAAACUUUGAAAUACGUUUUUUUAUUAUUAUUGAAUAUUCAUUUCAUGAAUUUAUAUAUGUACCUGUCUUUGUUAUUACAAAAAAACGGUGUGAACCUUUGUUGUUAGCUAGACACUUUUAAACAAUGCAUUGGUCAAAACAAUGAUUAUUUUAGCCUAUUACGAAACAUUAGUCCGAGUUAAAGAAUAGGUAUUCAUUCAGCGGAUUCAUUCAUUCUUAUCCUGCCCAUUCUCCUUUCUAAUAUCAAUGGACACAAUAUGUUAAUGUACAAAUAAAUAAAAGUUUUCAUUAACAAUUGCUUGAACAAUGUCUGAACGUUUAAUUCUAACUGCUCUUUCUUUACUGCUGUGUAUCCCACAGGCGUCUGCUUUCCUAAUUUUUCUUCUCCAUUUUGCUCUAUCUACAACAUCGCUCUCGGAUACCUGGCACUUCUUCAUAUCUUUCGCCAUUAUGCCAUAUAGUUUCGGGGCGGCCUUUUUGACUAGAGGCCCAUCCCCAGCUAGCAGUUGCAGCGCCCUGUCUUAGCUAACUACGAUAUACAUAAUCACCAAAAAUAUAUAAAUUUUUGUCAUCCAUUCUCGAUCACGUCUUGCUAGAAUCCCCUUUUUUCGUGGCCGUCCCACCAUAGUCGAUUCUCUUGCAAUUUUACUCGUCUGCGAUUAUAUCGCUCACCCCUUAACUUUAACCGUUAUCUAAGAUUCUAUUUUUUAAUUAUAUUUUGUUUAUAUAAUGUGCCAAUAAUAAUCUGUUAUACUUUGAUUAGGUAUAUAUUUACACUUUGAGACUGAACUAUGUAUUAUGUUAUGUUAUAUUAAAUUAUGUACUGUGAUUUGUUAUUACGGGUUGUUGUUCAUUCGUCAUUAAGUAAGUAUCAUCAAAAAGUAUGUAAUUGUUACAUCUCGUUUUUAGUGAUUUUUCUUGAAUUUUGUGGACCCAGCUAUUUAUAGCGUGGUUUAUAAACAGCAACCCGUGUUACGUUGCAUCUUAGCAUUAAUAAUACUUUGUUAAUUAAUAUUAAGUUGAUACCUAUACCUAACUGUGAUUCAAUACUCUUGUUUUUUUCUAGGUUUUUUCUAAAUUUUGACUAAUAUUUGGAUUUUUAAUGAAUUAAGUAUAUGAAUUAUAUUGUAUACAUAUAAUACAUACAUGCAAUAUAUCAUUUGUAUACCAAUUAAUAUACAAAAAAAUUGUUUAAUGGUUCCUCAAACCAACACAGACAGACAUGUGUUGCUGGGGAGUUUGUUCCGCCACUUCUUCUUCCCAGCAAAAACACAUAGGAAGUGGUGAUGGGCGGGCGUUUUGUGGGCUGUCUAUUGUGAAUUUUUAAAUUUCAAAAGUUAGAAUAAAUGAAUUGGAAUUU